rnacentral:rRNA from 1 species
UACGUAGGUGGCAAGCGUUGUCCGGAAUUACUGGGUGUAAAGCGCGUGUAGGCGGCAGACCAAGUCGGCGGUGAAAGCGCCCGGCUCAACUGGGCGAGGUCCGUGGAAAACUGGUCAGCUGGAGGACGGUAGAGGCGAGUGGAAUUCCCGGUGUAGUGGUGAAAAUGCGUAGAGAUCAGGAGGAACACCCGGUGGCGAAGGCGGGUCUC